rnacentral:rRNA from 1 species
GACGAACGCUGGCGGCGUGCCUAAUACAUGCAGGUAGAACGCUGAAGGAGGAGCUUGCUUCUCUGGAUGAGUUGCGAACGGGUGAGUAACGCGUAGGUAACCUGCCUGGUAGCGGGGGAUAACUAUUGGAAACGAUAGCUAAUACCGCAUAAUAUUGACUAUUGCAUGAUAGUCAGUUGAAAGGUGCAACUGCACCACUACCAGAUGGACCUGCGUUGUAUUAGCUAGUUGGUGGGGUAACGGCUCACCAAGGCGACGAUACAUAGCCGACCUGAGAGGGUGAUCGGCCACACUGGGACUGAGACACGGCCCAGACUCCUACGGGAGGCAGCAGUAGGGAAUCUUCGGCAAUGGACGGAAGUCUGACCGAGCAACGCCGCGUGAGUGAAGAAGGUUUUCGGAUCGUAAAGCGCUGUUGUAAGAGAAGAACGAGUGUGAGAGUGGAAAGCUCACACUGUGACGGGAUCUUACCAGAAGGGGACGGCUAACUACG